CCCACCAGCCACGUGAUGGGUGUGUUCUGGGCCACGUACUCAACCAUGUGGUCGAGGGCCUCUCGGGCCUUGGCCACCUGCUCCCGGCUCUGCAUCAGGACGGUGCUGGACAGGUCCUGGAAGGAAUGGAUGCCGGAAAAGGUGGCUUGGAGGCCCUCCACCUGGUGGCGAGCCUGCUGCAGCUGGUCCUUCACGUGGGUGGGCAGCCCCUGGAUGCUGGACCCCAGCGAGGCGCAGGUGCUCUGCAGCUGCUGGGCAAUGUCCCGGAACAUGGUGAGCGUCUGGGUCUCCACCUGCUGAGAAUGGGGGGGACCAUCAGGACUGUGUGCUCCCAGGGCAGGCGGAUGCGACCUUCCAGGAAACCUUUCCCCACGAGAGCCCGUCCAGCAUGGUGGUGGUUUGGGACACUGGCUCUUUUGAGCUUUGAGCCAUGUGGCGUAUGUACCAGAGUAAAAAAGAGGCAGAGAAAUUUCUCCAGAGGGGACAAGCAGGUGGUCAAUAAGCACCCGCCACCAGGGACACGGGGCACAGACCCACAAUGAGGUGCCACUCCACACGCGCUGGGGCGAGCAGGAUCUAGGAGGGAGUGACGAGUGCUGACGACAAUGGGGAAUGAAGUGGGACCCUUGUAUGUUGCUGGUGGUCCCUCAAAACGCUAAUCUACAGGGUUUCCAUAUGGCCAGCACCUCCGCUUGUAGGGAUCUACCCCAGAGAAAUGGAAACGCACACCUGUACGAGGCUGGUUCCCAAGGUGGUGUCCACGGGAGAUAAACCCAACGUCCAUCAGCUGGGGGAGAGAGCAGGCUGGCGGUGGGACUUUGCCCUGACCCUGCAACAGCGAGCAGCCUGGACUCGAGCCUGGCAGGGAGGUGCCGAGCACAGUCGACAUCUGCAUCUUCUGGGUGCCACGCGGAGCAGUGGGGUUCUAGGUGCUUCCUGCGCAGUCAUCAAAUCCCAACAACUCCGCGAGGGACGCACCGUUAGCCCCAUUUUUACAGACGAGGAAACGGGCUCACAGGUGAAGUGACUUGCCCGAGGCCACGCAGCUAGGCAGUGGCAAGUCAGGAUUUGAAGCCAGGCGGUCUGUCACCAUGUUCUGAACCACGAUACCUGACGGGGGGACAAGUCUGAGCCACUUGAGAACCGUCUUGACAGCGCGUAAGGCAACGUCGGGAAUAUCUAGUCCAGAGAGAGCCCUUGACGUUAGAAGACGGCAGGAUGGAAACGGCCCGUCCUGAUGAGCUGCUAGCUCACCGGCUUGGUAAUGCCCUCUAGCAGGGGCUUGCGAACUUUGGCCCCCAGGCCCAAUGCCCUGUCUUUAUAAAUAAAAUUUUAUUGGCACAGGGUCACA